rnacentral:misc_RNA from 1 species
AACGCACAUUGCGCCCCCUGGUAUUCCGGGGGGCAUGCCUGUCCGAGCGUCAUUACUGCCCUCAAGCCCGGCUUGUAUUGGGUCCUCGUCCCCCCCGGGGGACGGGCCCGAAAGGCAGCGGCGGCACCGCGUCCGGUCCUCGAGCGUAUGGGGCUUUGUCACCCGCUCUGUAGGCCCGGCCGGCGCCAGCCCACGCAGAUCAUCCUUUUUUUUUCAGGUUGACCUCGGAUCAGGUAGGGAUACCCGCUGAACUUAA